GUUUAAGACCUGCUUGCGUGGCUCCUGCUGUGGCUCUGCGCUUGCUGAAAUCCUGUUUGCACCACUCUUUAUCUAAAAGUUUGAGUAUUUUUAACUUGAGCCUUGGCUCUCCGUGUGGUGAAGACACGCUGAGCUCUCAGCCCUGCCAGAGACAAGCAACAGUACCUUUUUAAAUAUGGAAAUAAGAGAAAAAAAGACAACAUCAAGACUCAUGGAGCUCGUCAGAAACAUCCUCCCAUGUCAGACUGCUAAGGCAGAAAUGUGUGCUGUCUCCUGUGGGACAUCUCAAGACAACGGACUCUUUUUAGGCAGGAAUACAGAACAGACAAUGAUGACGUCUGAGAAUAGCAUCGAGUCCUGGGAUUUGAAGAGGUGUCUGAACUCUCAUUCACACAGCGUGCCAGGCAUGACGAUGAUGUGGGAAGUGACCACAGUGUACGAGACUCC
ensembl:lncRNA